rnacentral:rRNA from 1 species
UACGUAGGGGGCAAGCGUUGUCCGGAAUCAUUGGGCGUAAAGCGCGUGUAGGCGGCCAGGUAAGUCCGUUCUGAAAGCCCGGGGCUCAACCCCGGGAGGCGGAUGGAUACUGCUUGGCUCGAGUCCGGAAGAGGCGAGUGGAAUUCCCGGUGUAGCGGUGAAAUGCGCAGAUAUCGGGAGGAACACCAAUGGCGAAGGCAGCUCGCUGGGACGGUACUGACGCUGAGGAGCGAAAGCGUGGGGAGCGAACAGG